UGGGGAAUUUUGCACAAUGGGCGCAAGCCUGAUGCAGCGACGCCGCGUGAGGGAUGACGGCUUUCGGGUUGUAAACCUCUUUUAUCCACCACGAAGGCCAGGUAUUCGCCUGGUUGACGGUAGUGGUUGAAUAAGCGCCGGCUAACUACGUGCCAGCAGCCGCGGUAAGACGUAGGGCGCGAGCGUUGUCCGGAUUUAUUGGGCGUAAAGGGCUCGUAGGCGGUUGAUUGCGUCCGCCGUGAAAGGCCUCGGCUUAACCGGGGUUUUGCGGUGGAUACGGGUCGACUUGAGGCAAUUAGGGGAGAUCGGAAUUCUACGUGUAGCGGUGAAAUGCGCAGAUAUGUGGAGGAACACCGGUGGCGAAGGCGGAUCUCUGGGAUUGUUCUGACGCUGAGGAGCGAAAGCGUGGGGAGCGAACAG
rnacentral:rRNA from 1 species